rnacentral:rRNA from 1 species
UACGUAGGGUGCGAGCGUUGUCCGGAAUUAUUGGGCGUAAAGAGCUUGUAGGUGGCUCGUUGCGUCGGGAGUGAAAGCCUGCGGCUUAACCGCAGGCCUGCUUCCGAUACGGGCGAGCUAGAGUUCGGCAGGGGAGACUGGAAUUCCUGGUGUAGCGGUGGAAUGCGCAGAUAUCAGGAGGAACACCGGUGGCGAAGGCGGGUCUCUGGGCCGAUACUGACACUGAGAAGCGAAAGCGUGGGGAGCGAACAGG